UCCGCGUGCGACUGGGCCUCCCGGCGCCCGACGACAGGCGCGGCGCUCACCAGGCGAACCAGGAGGUACGAGGGCCAGCAGUGUUCUCAGCCCGUGCCGCGUUCGCUAGGCGUUUAUAAGCUGCGGGAGUGAGUGUCACCGACGAGUCUGCGCGCCCGGCAGGAAGUGCCUCCUGCCUUGCCCAACCUGAGAGCUCCGGGUCUCCGGAGCUAUGAGCACCGGGGGCAAUUGUAAUACGGUUCCCAGGGGACCGCGACACACCAAGGGUGAACGCGCUGACCAGGCUUUGUAGUCGUGGUACAGAUAGUAACGAGCCUAACACAAAGGCAACGCGGCGAGUUGUUUCCUGGGUUUUAGGGAAGACGCACUCAAUCAGCAAUGCCCAGGAAAGAUGAACAAGAAACUUACCGUAGGUGGGAGAACUGUGAACAAGGUGGGAGGGAAUCUGUUGAAUCUUUAUGCCCCUUAGAAGUUUGAAACUGUAACACUCGAAUACAUACUGUAUUCUGUAUGGUUACUCCAGCAAUUAAAUGAUCUCAAAAGAUAUAAAGCCUCAAUGUACGAUGUUAAACAGGUCUCCCCAAAGCAAA
rnacentral:lncRNA from 1 species